GUCCAGUUGACCAAUAACAUGGUUGUUUGAAUUUGAAAUGGAGUGGGCGGAUCUGUGCAGCUUUCGAGCAAAACGUGGUGUGAGCAAACAUUAACGUAAUUUUAUACAGUCUAUGCUUGUAACUUUAUUUGCAAGACAGAUGGACUGUAGAGACCAGAAAAUGCAUACGUUUACGGUCCGUAUUGUUACAGGUUUGUCCAAAUUAAAGAUACCAUAAAUUCUAGUCAUGCCAGAGACGUUUGUCCUACAGAAGGACUCGUCAUAUGAGAUAACAAGGGCUGAAGCCAGUUGGAUCUAAAGUGCCAAGUUAUUCGUUAUCAGGUGAGUCCCAAAGCAUAUUGUUAAAUGAUUCUGAUGUAGCUUACUCUUUAUGACCUUCGGUAGUCUUUGGAGAAGUUAAAUUGAUGGCUUAGCAAUCUUUCAAUAGUUUGUUUUUAUCCUUGCUAGUACAAGCUAGCAAUGCCAGAUCACGUUAGCUAAUUUAGCUAAUGUUAACGUCAUAAACGUCGACCAGAUCCCUAUCAAGAAGAAAACUAACGUUACAUUAUUAUUGACAAGCGUUGGCUAGCACAAACGUUAGACAAACUAUGAUGGAAGAAAGUGUGUUCUUUAUUAAGCAACGUUUGCCUAAAGUUCACCAAUGUUCUUUAAUAUUAUAGUGUAGGCUAAGUUAACUCACAGAAAGGAGGAUGGUGCUAGGCUAGUCACACUUCACACUCAUUAGGCAUGCUAAUGACAUUGUAGCUGUUUUUUUCCUUUAAUCGUGGAGACAUCUUUUAAAAUGAGUCUACAGGAGAAAUUACAUGCAUUUUAUGAAGUAGAACAUUUUUUUCCACCAUUGAUAUUAGAGGGGGAAUUAAACCUGGUGUUCUACUAAGUUAGUGCUAUGAAGCUUAGGCUACAUGAUUGAUAUUAUGCCUUGGUUUAUGCGAUAGAUUUAGAUUUUUUUUAAUUAUUUGUGUUUGACAGAGCAUUCAAGUUCAUUUCAUAGUAGUGUUUGUAAUUUACCUAGUUUUAAUCUGUAGCCUAACUAUGUUUUUACAGGUGUUCCUGGACAGUUUUGAAACCGAGAUGUCUGAACGCCUCAAAUAAUCAGCAGUAAAGACAACAGAGACAAAUUCUCUAAUACCAAGGUCAAUGCAUUUGACUGCUGUCCAGCCCCGGGUUGCCACCGAAAACUUUAUGCAUCUUGGACUGGAAGAUGGUUUGCUAGUAAGGAAGCUAGCUACCACAGCCUUUGCCACCACAUCUCAGUGUUGGGAGAGAAGUUCACUCACUGCACAACUCUACCAGCUGUACCUUUCCUCCUCAGCCAUGAUCCGUAACCACCAUGGUUUUCUUUCUGGGCCAGAAGACUUUGCAAACAAAUAAGCAAUAAAUGAUCAUGCAUUA